rnacentral:misc_RNA from 1 species
AUGAAUGAAUUCGGAGGUUUGGGUUGUCGCUGGCCUCUUCACCGAGGCAUGUGCACGCCUCCUCCGUUCAUCCACCACACACCUGUGCACUUGUGAUUCGGGUUGUCCCUCUCGCGGGGGGCGGUCCGUCUUAUUAUACAUAAACUCUAUUAUCAUAAAUCAGAAUGUAAUCGAUGUAAACACAUCUUUGAAC